rnacentral:tRNA from 1 species
GUCGUUGUAGCUUAGAUGGUAUAGCAACGUAUCAUAAUGCGUGGAUCAGCAGUUUAAUUUUGCUCGGCGGCA